rnacentral:rRNA from 1 species
AUUGAACGCUGGCGGCAGGCCUAACACAUGCAAGUCGAGCGGAUGAAGGGAGCUUGCUCCUGGAUUCAGCGGCGGACGGGUGAGUAAUGCCUAGGAAUCUGCCUGGUAGUGGGGGAUAACGUCCUGAAACGGGCGCUAAUACCGCAUACGUCCUGAGGGAGAAAGUGGGGGAGCUUCGGACCUCACGCUAUCAGAUGAGCCUAGGUCGGAUUAGCUAGUUGGUGGGGUAAAUGCCUACCAAGGCGACGAUCCGUAACUGGUCUGAGAGGAUGAUCAGUCACAUUGGAACUGAGACACGGUCCAGACUCCUACGGGAGGCAGCAGUGGGGAAUAUUGGACAAUGGGCGAAAGCCUGAUCCAGCCAUGCCGCGUGUGUGAAGAAAGUCUUCGGAUUGUAAAGCACUUUAAGUUGGGAGGAAGGGCAGUAAGUUAAUACCUUGCUGUUUUGACGUUACCAACAGAAUAAGCACCGGCUAACUUCGUG